UCUAAACACAUUAUAAAUGUUAGAAAUGUAUUGCUAAAACAAACUAACUGUGAACUGUGAAGUAGCCUAUUGAAUUGUGGAAUAAGAGUCAGACCAUUAAACAGUUUUUCACCAUUGCAGUGUUCCAGAUUUUUUGGGUGGGGCUAAAACGGGGACUCGAUGAUGCACUGAGGUGGGCCCCUCCCACACACUGAUAGACUUUGCCAUUUUACCGCAAAAAAGCCCAGUAAAAUACCGUUUAUAUUAUUUAUGGUUAACUACUGUAAUAUGCACUGCAUUGUGGGUAUAGUUAAUGAAAUUUACAGUAACUUACUGUAUAUGUGUAUUUGCAGUGUUUUACUGUUUACGCAAAAGCAGUAGUGCUACUUUAAAUGCAUCUCUGCAGUAUAUAUGAAUGGGCAUAUAAGCACUGUACAAUUUAUACAAUCUGUCUUAUAAUUCAUGGGAUGACUGCACUUUUGUUUAUUGUGUACACACAUUGUACAGUACAAACCUUGUAUUAGCCUACUUAUGAUAAUGUUUUAUAUUUUUCCCCUCCGCUGGAUGUUUAAAAAACAUGUAAAUGGAAAGAUUUGAAAUGAGUUCUUAUGGAGAGACUAGAGUCAUUUUUUAUAUUAUUAUUUUCUCCAAUAAUAUAUUUAUAUUUAUAUAUAUAUAUAUAUUAAAUCCACUUUUUUAUGCCAGGUAAAAGAGCACACGUGUGGUGAUAAAUGUAUCUUUUUCUCACACCCCACAAAAUGUAAAUUGUUGCUCUCGUGCAAGGCCUCGCCCGCAGCAGAAUGUGUAAACUGAGGUUUGUGUGACGUCACGUGUCGAGUGCGCGCUCAUAACGGACGUUCUGCUGAGAGUGGAUCGCAUCGCAAGACGCUAGCUGUGCCAGCAGUUUUUCGGAGGUAAGUAGCCUAACGUUACUUUUUACUGGACAAAUUUCUUUUAUAUACGCUACUUUUACAAAGUAAACAAUUACCAAUAUCAAUUAAAUAUAACGGAAUGUAUGAAUAAAGUAAAUAAUAAAAUCUAGGCUCCUAACAGGAGAAUCUGAAGGAAGUUAGUUUUCCUCAAAAAACGCUGCUUUCAGGCAUUAACUUAACUUAAAUGUCACACAAUUGACUGACUGCCUUUUCCAGUAAGGUCGAUAAUCCCAAUAUAUUAUUUACACAAACAAUGGUUUUCCGUCCUUUUUACUCAUUUAGGCAUAUGGCAUAUUUUACUCGUCAGUUAAAUGUGUGAGGUGUUUUGAAGUAGGACCUAACGUCAGGUCCUACUUCAAAACGUUAACAUACUUUUUACUCCUAGCGUUAGGCCUACUUUUUACUCCUAGAAAACGUUACUUUUUCUCCUAGCGCGUUUUCUCAAAGGCACGUUCUCAAGUGUAGACACACGAUGUAAGAGAUGUGACGGCUACAUAGGCCUAACGUUACAUGCUGGAUUCACUCUGCACAGGACAGAAAUAUGACAUUUUAAAAUAGUAACGAAUUUAAAGCAAUGUAGAGGCAGACUAAAAGAUAGGCCUAAAUGGAAAAAUAUUCAUUGCAAUGAAUAUUUUUCCAUUUAGGCCUAUUUGCAACCUAUUUCAGAAAUUCCAUGUCAAUAGUCCUAAUUGGUAAAACUGUAAUCUGAUAUCUAAUCUGAUCUGAUCUGACUGUGUAAAUGAUUAAUAGCAGUCAUCCUAGAUCUGUGAUUUAUCAUAUUCAAAACAUAGCCUAUAGUCAUUAGUCAAUAAUCAUAGAUGAAAAAUAAUGGGGGGUUUUUUCUCUCUUUUGCUUGUGUCAACAGGAGCUUACUGCAGCUUCUUUUUAGAGCCACGCACAUCACUGAGCAUCUUUGGCUUUCCAGUGACCCGGAAACCGAUAAAACUCCAUCUUGAAGGGCAUAUCAAUUCUCUAUUUGCACCGUGAAGAGGCGAGGAAUGUGGAGUGAGGAAGGAGUCAUGAGCAAGGAUACACAGGUGUUUCUUUCCCUUGCACCCUAUAAGGGGAUGGAGCUGAGACGCAAGGAAAGGAAGUGAGAGAAGGAGAAUGAGAGGCACUCAUGGUAUAGGCCCCAGGCUUCCACUUUCUAAUGUGUGUGUAUUUGUAUGUUUCCACAAGGGGGAAUCCGUUUUAAUCCUUUCAUGAUUUAUUAUAUGUAUCCUUGCUAAUCUCUUAACAGCACUGAUAGUAUGUAAUUUUUUCUGUGUGAUAUAUAUAUAAACCGUCAGACUCUUAAAUGCUUUCUAAUCCAUAAUUUUUCUACAGGAGUGCUUUGGACUCAGUGACCGCCAACCCAGAAACCCCAGAAUGAAGAAGUUAUAUUUUCUAGUUUCCAGCUGCAAGACCAUAUAAAGCCAGACCCAUGAGUGAUCUGCAAUCUCUACACGAACCACCAUCUCAGCUCUGCCCUCUCCUCCCUCUCUCACUGUGUGGUGAAAAGAAAAGAUGGAGUGAGACUCACAUAGGUUGCGGUGCUGAGCUGAGGCGUGUGAAAGAUCCUGAGGAUGCAGGAAGCUGUACCAAGAUUGGGACUGCAGAAUCUCCACAUUUAGUCCCAAAUAAACAUUCACACUGAAAGUUGGAAAAGGAUAAAUGUCUCAUGUCACGGCUAUGCUGAGAACGGAAACAUGGCAGGAAGAAGUUGCUCUCUGGUGUUGGAGCUGAAGAUUGUUCUCUGUCCAGGGCAAU